AAGACCUUACUACAUAGGAUCAUUUCUAUAGUAAAUUCUUCACAAGACGUUCUUCGUUUGCUUGCACAGCACAAAUUUAGAAUACGGCGAAGAAAAUCUUUACACACCAACAGAAUCUUAUAGAU